CCUACGGGUGGCAGCAGUCGAGAAUCAUUCACAAUGGGGGCAACCCUGAUGGUGCGACGCCGCGUGAGGGAAUGAAGGUCUUCGGAUGGUAAACUCCUGUCAUGUGGGAGCAAAUUAAAAAGAUAGUACCACAAGAGGAAGAGACUGCUAACUCUGUGCCAGCAGCCGCGGUAAUACAGAGGUCACAAUCGUUGUGCGGAAUGACUGGGCGUAAAGCGUGCGUAGGCGGUUUCGUAAGUCGGGUGUGAAAGGCGAGGGCUCAACCCGCGGACGGCACAUGAUACUGCGGGACUAGAGUACAGGAGGGGGAACCGGAAUUCUCGGUGUAGCGGUGAAAUGCGUAGAUAUCGGGAGGAACACUCGUGGCGAAGGCGGGUUGCUGGACAUUAACUGACGCUGAGGCACGAAGGCCAGGGGAGCGAAAGGGAUUAGAUACCCGAGUAGUC
rnacentral:rRNA from 1 species